rnacentral:ncRNA from 1 species
GAAAAAGCUGAGAAGGUGUAAAGUAGGUACUUAUUUUCUUUCAGAGAGGGAAGGUCAUCGGCUGAGAGCCAUCCUAAGUUCAGAUAAGUAGUUGAAUUUCCCACCAGAGCUGCAUCUCUGAAUUUAUAGUAGGAGAUGACGUUAAUACACGUUACGUAUACUGAGUGCCUACGAAAAUGUAGGAAACAGGGUGGUACCGCGAUAUCUUCGUCCCUUUA